rnacentral:lncRNA from 1 species
AAUCUCUGUUGAUCUCUAUGACAUACUUUUGGAUUUUGAUUUUGAUGGAUUUAGGACAUGUUGAUGUCUAUUUUGAAUGAUGUGUUAAAUGACUUUUGCGUAAUGUUGAAUACCUUUGCUAUUAAUGAUAUUAUUAUUAUUAUUAUUAUUAUGAGCCAAUCAAUGUACCAAAUGUACCAGGUUAUUGGAAUGUGAUCAGUGACCAAAUUUGGUUACUGAAUUGUUUAUCAAGUAUUGUAACG